rnacentral:rRNA from 1 species
GCUGUGUCUAAAAAUUCAAUUUAAACUAACUUAAAGGUGAAGAGGCCUUUAUGUAAAAGAAGGACGACAAGACCCUAUGAAGCUUUAUCUUAAUUGGAGCUUUCAGGCUCUUAUACGAUUUUGAUGGGAGAUCAGUAGAAAUAAGUCCUCUACUAUUAUAUUAAUCUUACUAGUAUUUCCUAACUUUAUAUGUGUGACUAGCUACUCUAGGGAUAACAGCGCAAUUUCUCCCGAAAGAUGGUAUUGGAGGGGAAGAUUGCGACCUCGAUGUUGGC